UGGGGAAUAUUGGACAAUGGGGGCAACCCUGAUCCAGCCAUGCCGCGUGAGUGAAGAAGGCCUUAGGGUUGUAAAGCUCUUUCAGCGGGGAAGAUGAUGACGGUACCCGCAGAAGAAGCCCCGGCUAACUCCGUGCCAGCAGCCGCGGUAAUACGGAGGAUGCAAGCGUUAUCCGGAAUGAUUGGGCGUAAAGCGUCCGCAGGUGGUAGUGCAAGUCUACUGUUAAAGAGUGAAGCUUAACUUCAUAAAGGCGGUGGAAACUGCAUAACUAGAGUACGUUCGGGGCAGAGGGAAUUCCUGGUGUAGCGGUGAAAUGCGUAGAUAUCAGGAAGAACACCGGUGGCGAAAGCGCUCUGCUAGGCCGUAACUGACACUGAGGGACGAAAGCUAAGGGAGCGAAUGGGAUUAGAUACCCCCGUAGUCC
rnacentral:rRNA from 1 species